rnacentral:rRNA from 1 species
UACGGAGGGUGCAAGCGUUAUCCGGAUUCACUGGGUUUAAAGGGUGCGUAGGUGGGUUGGUAAGUCAGUGGUGAAAUCUCCGUGCUUAACAUGGAAACUGCCAUUGAUACUACUGAUCUUGAAUUUUUCGGAGGUAAGCGGAAUAUGUCAUGUAGCGGUGAAAUGCUUAGAUAUGACAUAGAACACCAAUUGCGAAGGCAGCUUACUACAGGGACAUUGACACUGAGGCACGAAAGCGUGGGGAUCAAACAGG